GCCGUGGUAACUUAAUUGGUAUAGCAUUGGUCUCGUAAUCCAAGCUUUCGUGGGUUCGAUACCAGCCAGUGUGGGUAGCU